rnacentral:rRNA from 1 species
AUUGAACGCUGGCGGCAGGCCUAACACAUGCAAGUCGGACGGUAGCACAGAGAGCUUGCUCUUGGGUGACGAGUGGCGGACGGGUGAGUAAUGUCUGGGGAUCUGCCCGAUAGAGGGGGAUAACCACUGGAAACGGUGGCUAAUACCGCAUAACGUCGCAACACCAAAGAGGGGGACCUUCGGGCCUCUCACUAUCGGAUGAACCCAGAUGGGAUUAGCUAGUAGGCGGGGUAAUGGCCCACCUAGGGGACGAUCCCUAGCUGGUCUGAGAGGAUGACCAGCCACACUGGAACUGAGACACGGUCCAGACUCCUACGGGAGGCAGCAGUGGGGAAUAUUGCACAAUGGGCGCAAGCCUGAUGCAGCCAUGCCGCGUGUAUGAAGAAGGCCUUCGGGUUGUAAAGUACUUUCAGCGGGGAGGAAGGCGACGCGGUUAAUAACCGCGUCGAUUGACGUUACCCGCAGAAGAAGCACCAGCUAACUCUGUGCCAGCCGCCGCGGUAA